AUUGAACGCUGGCGGCAUGCCUUACACAUGCAAGUCGAGCGGUAACAGGUCUUCGGAUGCUGACGAGUGGCGAACGGGUGAGUAAUACAUCGGAACGUGCCUAGUAGUGGGGGAUAACUACUCGAAAGAGUGGCUAAUACCGCAUGAGAUCUACGGAUGAAAGCAGGGGAUCGCAAGACCUUGUGCUACUAGAGCGGCCGAUGGCAGAUUAGGUAGUUGGUGGGAUAAAGGCUUACCAAGCCGACGAUCUGUAGCUGGUCUGAGAGGACGAUCAGCCACACUGGGACUGAGACGGGGCCCAGACUCCUACGGGAGGCAGCAGUGGGGAAUUUUGGACAAUGGGCGCAAGCCUGAUCCAGCCAUUCCGCGUGCAGGAUGAAGGCCCUCGGGUUGUAAACUGCUUUUGUACGGAACGAAAAGGCUCUGGUUAAUACCUGGGGCUCAUGACGGUACCGUAAGAAUAAGCACCGGCUAACUACGUGCCCGCCGCCGCGGUAAAAC
rnacentral:rRNA from 1 species